rnacentral:tRNA from 1 species
GGGGAUUUAGCUCAGUGGUAGAGCGCUUGCCUAGCUUGCUAGCAAGGCCCUGGGUUCGGUCCCCAGCUCCG